AGGAGACAUUUGUUAGUGGUUUCUGAUGUAUGAGUCUGAAGGACCUGUCACGUUGAGCCACAGAAUGACUUUAAUUAGCUGCCUGUCUGAAAUGCCCUGUCGAUGUGGUCCAUUAAAGCCAUACCAUCUGACAAAAGAAGAUGUGAAAAGAUGCAUAGAGGCUGGCUGCGAACACGAGGCACACCACUCAUUUUUGCCUGCACCUCCACACUUCUAAUAAAAGAUAUACACAAACCCAGAAAACAGACUUCGGAUUGAGAGCAGCAAGACGAAAUCCUAACAACCUGUUGAAUCUCGUCACCCUGAAGUAACAGGAGCUGGGAGAUGGGGAAAAUGGAACAGCGGCUUUGCUGGAGUUCCCCGUUCACUCUUCCUGCCCCACCUCUCCUACAGUCUCCUGAUACAGGAGCUCUGAAGGUCUCAGACAAGAUGCGUGAGGUAAAAAGAAAGUGAAAAUGUGUUCUUAUGAGACAAUUUUUAAGAGUUGCAACAAUACCUGGCCUAGAAAUUCCCUUCCCUCUAAAUUUUAGAAUUACAAAUAACCACUGUAAAUUCUUAUCACUUUGAUUUGAAUGGUGUCUAAAAAAGUGCAAGGUCAAAGAGCUAAUUCCAAACUUUGAAAGUGUGGUUCUGUGGCCACAUACAUGUAAAGGAAAAACUGAGUAAGGGAGGAAGAAGGGAAGUGAUUACUCUGAAUCCAAAGGCUAGGUCAGUGUUAAUCCUCAAGUUGAUGACACUUGCUCGGCUGGUCACAGCAUUUGCUCUAUCUGAUUGGCAAUUUGAGUUCGUGGUAUUACAUAAGAGUGUCAGGAUCUACAGAGCAGUUUAGACAUGAGUCUGUACCUUCAUAUAGCUUUAAUCUAGUGGAAGACACAGGAGAAUCACAGGGGAAGUUAAUAUAAAUGCCUCUCAGUUAGCCUAGUUCCAAAGCCAUGAGGGUCUGGAGCAGUGCGCUGGGACCUCUGGGUCUGCAUCACUUAUGAGGGUAGAAGGUGCAGAGAAAACAUCUUUGGCUGCACAGUCAGUUCUGUUGUAUACAUUUGCUAGAUCCAGCUGUGUUUCCUAAAGACUGAACAUAUUGUUCUGACUAUUUGUAUUCUUGGCAUCCAACCCUGCCGCACAUUUCCAAGCGCCAGGAGCACGCAGCACAGCAGUCCUUCCCUGAAAGGCUGUAAAGCCACGACUAGUUUCUUCUCCCAAAGACCCAAGGUACUUGUUAAAGCACGAGAGCUGUUUCAAUGGAUACGGCUCUGAGUUAAGUGUGUGGCAACACAGUCUUAGGGAGACAGAGUUCCUUUGCCUAACAGUCUCCGUAUUUGUCAAAACUACUGUAGGUCAAAGGUUAGCAGUAGCGUCUGGCAGCACAAGACCAAAUCCAAAAAGCUUAACUAGGCUGGGCCAGUGAGCCCAGUUCCUGCGACAGCCUCCUCUCUCCAUGACUCAAAGUCCGGGUCCAUGCUGCUGCAGAGCGGAAGUUCACAGGUGAUGAGGGAUGUACGUCAGAUGUGCAAGCACAGCGGUAACCUCGGUGAUGCUUUCAGUCCCAGAGAGGGAUGCAGAAGCUGGCUUUGUCACAGCUCUCGGGGGAUGUUACAGAAUUUCCAAAAACAUGUGUAUCUAUUGACUGUGUCUUUAAAAUACAAAGAUAAGAUUUUUAGGUAGUUCAGUUCCAGAGAGAGGCAGAAGCGUUAAAAGUGCAUGCUAAGAUUGACUGUGACGGGAGGGCAUUGGAGGGAUAUUAACCUCGCUUGAGAAAGGAUGGAAAGCAGUGUCGAGACAAAGGGGCCACUACUAGACCCCCAGAGACCCUAACUCACUCCACAGUCUAAGUACUGGAGACAAAUACACCAUCCAGACUGCAUACACCAUGACUGAGCACCUCCACUUUGCACCAUCUCUGACACGGAAGGAUUAAUAGGCAGGUUUCUAGAGGAAAAUGAGGCCUAAAUUAAGGUUGAGAAUGCAAACUGAAACAAACGAGAGGGUGUCACUCUUACAAAGUCUAGGCUGAAUCUCUCGUGAGACAUCUGAUGUCUCAGAUGUCUGUGUGUUUGACAUACUAGUUAUCAAAGCAUGAUACAUCAAAAUGCACUGUGUCCUGUCACUAACCCUGACCUAAAGAUGAAAUUAAAUGCUACAUAGGCAUGGAAAAUCAAGAAAAAAUAGGAUUUGUCUCAGCAAAAGUCUUUAAAAGUUUAAUACCUCUAGAUACACAAUUUUAACUUAGAGAAAUUUAUUCUAAGUAAAUAUUUAGAGAAUAUUUAGUUACAAGAACAUCCAUCACUGUUUUUAGGGGUGGGAUGGCUAUGAAAAACUGAAAGUUAUGUAAAUAUUUGUCCAACAAUAAUACAUUGUAUGGUAUAUUUAUGAUAAUGGAAUAAUUUAUAGCCUUUAAAAAGCGAUGUUAUGGAAACAAAUAAUCCAAUUAAAGACAACAAGUAUUGGUGGGGCCGUGGGGAAAAUGAAACCCUUGCGCACUGUUAGUGGGAAUGCAAAAUGGGGCAGCUGCUGUGGAAAACAGUAUAGAGGUUUCUCAAAAAAUUAAAACUACAACUGCCAUAUGUUUCAGCAAUCCUACUUCUGGGUAUAUAUCCAAAAGAAUUGAAAUCAGGGGCUCUAAGAGAUAUCAGUACUACCAUAUUCAAUACAGUACUAUUAACAAUAGCCAAGAUAGCCAAGAUGUGGAAACAAACUAAAUGUCUAUUGACAGACGAAUGAGUAAAAAAAAUGUGGUACACACAUACAAAGAAAUAAUAUUCAGACUUAAAAUGGAAGGAAACUCCAAUAUCCAAUAACAUGGAUGAAAUUUGAUGACAUUACACUAAGUGAAAUUCACAGAAAGACAAACACUCCAUGAUUUCCCUUACAUCAAAUAUCAAAAAUAGCAAAAUUCAUAGAAUCAGAGAGUGGAUUGGUGGUUUCCAGGGACUGAGAGAGAGGGAAACAGGGAGUUACUAAUCAAUGGGUAUAAAGUUUCAUUUAAGCAAAAUGAGUAAGUUCCAGAGAUCUGCUGUAUAGUUUUGUCCCUAUAGUCAAAAAAAGUCCAGUGCACUUGAAAAUUUGUUGAGAGAGUAGAUCUCAUGUGUCUUUUUUGACUUUUUUUUUAUUGAGUUAUAGUCAUUUUACA